UUUUUUGUACCCCGGCUGACUUAAGCAUCUCAAUAAGCGGAGGAAAAGAAACUAACAAGGAUUCCCGUAGUAACUGCGAGUGAAGCGGGAAAAGCUCAAAUUUAAAAUCUGGUGGUCUUUGGCCCAUCCGAGUUGUAAUCUAGAGAAGUGUUACCCGCGCCGGACCGUGUAUAAGUCUCCUGGAAUGGAGCGUCAUAGAGGGUGAGAAUCCCGUCUUUGACACGGACUACCGGGGCUUUUGUGGUGCGCUCUCAAAGAGUCGAGUUGUUUGGGAAUGCAGCUCAAAAUGGGUGGUAAAUUCCAUCUAAAGCUAAAUAUUGGCGAGAGACCGAUAGCGAACAAGUACCGUGAGGGAAAGAUGAAAAGAACUUUGGAAAGAGAGUUAAACAGUACGUGAAAUUGCUGAAAGGGAAACGCUUGAAGUCAGUCGCGUUGGCUGGAAAUCAACCCUGCUUUUGCUGGGCGUACUUUCUAGUUGACGGGCCAGCAUCAGUUUUGACCGGUGGAAAAAGUCUAGGGGAAUGUGGCAUCUUCGGAUGUGUUAUAGCCCUUGGUCGUAUACAUCGGUUGGGACUGAGGAACUCAGCACGCCGCAAGGCCGGGUCAUUGACCACGUUCGUGCUUAGGAUGCUGGCAUAAUGGCUUUAAUCGACCCGUCUUGAAACACGGACCAAGGAGUCUAACAUGCCUGCGAGUAUUUGGGUGGAAAACCCGAGUGCGUAAUGAAAGUGAUAGUUGAGAUCCCUGUCGUGGGGAGCAUCGACGCCCGGACCAGACGUUCUCUGACGGCUCCGAGGUAGAGCAUGUAUGUUGGGACCCGAAAGAUGGUGAACUAUGCCUGAAUAGGUGAAGCCAGAGGAAACUCUGGUGGGAGGCUCGUAGCGAUUCUGACGUGCAAUCGAUCGUCGAAUUUGGGUAUAGGGGGCGAAAGACUAAUCGAACCAUCUAGUAGCUGGGUUCCUGCCGAAGAUUCCCCCUCAGAAUAAAAA
rnacentral:rRNA from 1 species